CUUCCCGUCGUGCUGCGUCAGAAGUGCUCGGUCAAUGAGCUCCCGUUCCUCCUGGAUCUGCCUGUGCCCGGCCCUGAGUACUCAUGCGACAGAGCGAGUCAUUCUCCAGUGAGGACGCGUUCCCUGCCUUCCUUCCACAGAGGACAUUUGCUUCCUUUGUCUGUCACCUCGGCUGGCCCUGCAUCUUCCCAAGGGAUCAGACAUCUCCCGAUGUGUGCUUUUUAC